GUUUAUUUGUUUUCGAGUUAAAUUAUCAUCGUUACAAUCAACUGAUGUUGUUUAAUUUUCAACGAAUUUGAUGAUGAGUUGCUAAUGGAAUUUGAGAGAAACUUAAACUUACAUUUCUUCUUUAAAUUGUUUUCUAAUCAGAGUAAUAAAUCGGAAAUGUAUUUCCUUUUUUUUUCCUGUUUCGUUUUCUCUUGUUUUUAUCUUCUCAAGUAGAAACGAAAAGGAUUCUUUGGGUUUUCUCUGUCUUCUCUUUAAAAAUGGCGAUUUGCUCUCGUUCGGUCCAUCUAUCAAUGAAAGAUGAAAGGAAAAAGAUGAUGAGGAUGAUGAAGAGAAAUCUUGUCUUUGGGAUCCAUUUUUACUCCAUGAUAAUUGGUAAUACUUGUUCUCUAAUGACAAAGUCACCAAGUAUCCAACUGUGAUAACUCUGUUGCUGCUGAUUCUUUCUCUCUAAUAAGGCGAAUAUUUCUCAUCAUCGUUUUUUUUGGUGUUUGUUGGGUCAACUUUUGUUUAAGGUAACAUGUAACAUGUAACUUGUCAUUAGUCAAAUUGGAAAGUCAAGAAAAAAAGAAAGAUAGAGAAAGAGAGACAAAAAUUGAUGGUCAACAAAUUUCUAUCUCAAUGGUCACACACAUUUCAACAUCAAGGACAUAAUCGAUAAUUACAUCACCCAGAUAUGGCUGUUUUCAUCUUCUUUCAUCUCAAACUUGAUCCUCAAAGAUUGACCUUAACUUGACUUUACAUUACGAUGUCAAUCAGUUAUCAAAGGAAACCAAUGGACUAAGGAUGAAAAUUUUACUUUGAUGAUGCAGUUAAACACACUACAAACGUAAUAGUAAAAAGCUCAAGUUUUUGCUUCUUUGAUGGCUUUUCAACUGGAAAAAUAAGAAAGAGAGAGAAAGGAAAAGCUCCUAAUACAAUAAAAAGGAAUCAAAAUUAUGGUUAAAUUGAAAAGCCAAAAAGCCAACGUUACCUUUAUCCACUCUACUCUCUCCGUACAAUUUAAUGGUCACGAGGUGUACACAGGGUGUAUAAGAGGAGUGGUGAUGGUGGAAAAGAAGAAGAAAAAAAAAUAAUAUGUUUUCUGGAUAAGAAAUUGAAUGUUAACCAACACAGUUCACAGUUAACCAUUGGAAUUUUAAAAGUGCUAUUACUAUUAUUAUUAUCCUCAUUAUUACAGCAUCAACAUCAACAACUUUUACAUGGAGAGAGAGAGAGAGAGAGCUAAAGUUGACGGUUAAGCAUCAAUAAUGAUGAUAAUAGUAAUAAUAUUAAAACAAAAAAAAAACACUAAAAUAGGAUUUAUAUUUUAGCCUCUGCCCGUUUUUUACAUCAACUCAUUUAAUCCUGUUAAGACUACAAUCAGCAUCAUCGCCAUCACCUUUCACAAUCAACUAUCAACCAUUUAAGGAUCAUUAUUAUUAUUAUCAUCUAUUCUUGAUCACUAUCGUUGAUAUAACAAGAAAACAUAACUUAUACACAAUUGUAUAUAAACAUAUUACUAUGUACACUAUAUACUCUAUGGCUACUGGUGAUUAUGAUUGUUCAAUCAUUUAUAUUGUAUAUUUAAAUUGAAAAAAAAUUUCAAUUUUAACUUGGCGUUUCUUGAUCCUCUUGAUGUGUAUAUGUGUUGAUGAGAUUGUUUUGUGAGAAAAAAUAUUUUCAACAUAUUACAGAAUCAUAAGUUUCAAGUAGUAGUAAUAAUGUGCCAUAAUCCUUAAUAUGAUUGGCAAUCAAAAAUGAGAGAGAGAGAGAGAGAGAGAUAAAAUCAGCAUCAACCAAAGGAACAACAUCAACAUCAACCUUGUCAAAGUUUCUUCCCACCCACUCCAACUCAUUCCUUCAUCAUCAUCAUCAUCAUCAUUAUCAGAAUCAUCUUUCUAGUUAAAUCUUAUCAUAAUAACAAUGUUAUUAUGAUAAUAACUAAAUGUAUAUGUUUAAGUGUGGUCUCUUUGAAUCAACGAUUAAGAUCAUCUUUAAGAUGAUGGUAACCCCUAAGUAAGACAAUAGACCCACAUUUAACUCUGGAUAACAGAGAGAAAGAGGGAGAAAUGAUGAGGAUGGAGAUAAGGAUAAAAAGGAAAACAAGGAAUAAAGAUAAGGAUGGAGACCAAGACAAGUCCAGUUGAUUUUUGAAGACCAGAAUAAAUGGCUUACAAAGGGAGAGAUCGAAAUGUAAAAAGAUUAUCCAAUACUGCUCAUCAUCAUCAUCAUCAUUUUUGGCAUAAAAACUCAUCAUAAAAACCAUUUUCCAAUCUUAAUAACUUUACCAAUGGAAAUACCUUUUCGCUAUUAAUAAUGUUCAUCAACUAAUUCAGCUCCUGAUUCUGAUCUCCUGGUGAUGAUACUGAAGAUGAUGAUGAUGAUGAUCCUGUUGUUAAAUACCAAUGAGAUGAAUCUUGAUUGGCUUUUGGGGGGUUGAGAUGAUAAUGAUAAUGGUGAUGAUGAUGAUAAUAGCUAAUGGGAUGAGAAUCAAGUGCAAUUUAUUAUCAUCAUUGGAUCACAUCAAGAGCUGAGAAAAAAUCGAGAAAAUCUUCUGAUGAAUGAUUUAGCUUUCUUGCUCCCCUUCUAAUGAUAAUGGUAAUCAUUUAAAAGAUGAUUUGUUUUGUCUCAUAUGAUAAAUACAAAAAUAUUUACAAUCAACCGGAAAUAGAAUUGAUGAUUUGAUUGGUCACAAUGGAGCAAGAAAAAGCUUUUCAAUCUCAAACAAUAAAAUAAUUGUCUUCACCCUAAGGAUUAAUAAAAUUGAUGUCGAAAUGAAAUAUGAUUGGUAUUAUCAUUAUUAUGAUCGUUGAUUUGUUUCCUUUGCAGUUUUUUCAGAUAAAUUGUUACUUGUUAUUUAUCACCAUUAGAUUCAAAGGAGAACCUGAAUUAGAGCAAUUUGAUUUGUAAUUAUAAUCUGAUUCAUCUUUAUAUUUUUACAUCUUCUCACUGUUGAUCAUUUAAGGAAAAAAAAUCAUGCAAAAACAAGUUGAAAUCAAUGGUUGCUGUUGUUUGUUUCUCUCUCUCUCUUUCUCUAUCAUCUGAUGAUAAUGAUGAUUAUGAUGAUGGCGAUGAUACCGCUGCUACUGCUGAUUUAAACUUGGUUUGAUUUUGGUUGAUUGUUGAUAAGAAUCAGGACAAAAUCAUGAGUCUUCUUUGGUAGUUACCUGAGCCUGGAACAUUAAAAAAAAAGCAACACACAUUGCAAUUGAUGCUCAUUAUUUUUUCGUUACCUGUUAUCAUCUGAAUCAUCUUCAUCACCAUAAACCAUCAUCAUCAACUCAAUCUUUUGAUUUAAACAAGCUGAUUGCUAAAAGGGAGAUGAUGAUGAUGCUGAUGAUGAUAAAAUAAAAAAGAGAAGGAGAUUUCAUCGUGCAAAUGUGAUGAAAGAAAAUUUUUUUUUAUCUAUCCAACUUAUAUAUUUUUACUAAUAAUAAUUUAAGUUAUUUAUGUUAAUAAUUGACAGGCUAUUUGAUGUUGUCAUGAUGAUGAAAAUGAUUAUGAUCAUGUUGGUGAUUAUCAUGAUGAUAAACGUUGAAGAGUUGAGAUUGGAAACAAAAUAUGAUAUUGAAGCCAUUUUGUUAUCUAAACAAUUACUUUUACAGGUAAUAUCGAGGUGGAAAUUGUUAACGUUACAACCUGAAGAUUAUGGCGUUUGCCUGAAGAUUUGAUCUAAUUUGGAUUAUCCUUUUUUUUGUCAGAAUUUAAAUAAUAAUAUUUGAAUUUUAACCUCGAUGAUAACCUCAUUGCAAUAUAAUUCUGUAUGGAAACUAGUGUGUGAUUUAAUGAUUUCCUUGUUAACGAUAAGUUUAAUGUGAAUGACAAUAUGACGAUGAUACAAAUGAUGAUGAUGAUGAUGAUGGGAAGAUGGCUUGAAAUCUUGUACUUUUUUCAUCAGUAAUCAAGAUUCUCUUUUCUGAUGGAAAGGCCACCAAGUUCGGUCAUCGCUUAAGUCCUUUUGGUCAUUACUCUUAAGAGAAGAGAUCACCUUUAACUCCCUGCAUGGGAUCUUCAUCUUCAUCUUUUUUUCUCCCUUUUCUUUAUCUUCUCAUUACAGGUAAAUAUGUUUUCUCUUUUUAGAAACAAAAUCAAGCACAAAUAAUGAGAAUGAACAACAACAAAAGGAUAAUCAUCAUCAUCAUCUUUCAACUGGUCAAUUCUAUUAUGUUAUUGGUCAAUUUUGUCAACAAAAGCUGAUAUUCAACUUUCUCUAUGGUCAUUUUCACGUAUCCCAACAAUAGAUGCGACAAUUAUUAUGCCAAUAUAAUAAUAAUGGGAAUAAACAAAUGAUGGACUUUGUCUGAUUAAAGGUGAUGUUUACUUGGACCGAGAACUGGACACCAAUGACCAAUUGAGAUUCUGUUAGGUUUUUGUUGUUGUUUUUUUCUGUGUUAUUGGCUAAAUGAAACACAGAGAAAAAAGUUGCAAUAGAAAAUCUCAAUAAUCUAACAACCACAACAACUUUUUUUCAACUUCCAAAGAAAAGGUUUGUUGUCUUUUCCUUUUCUUAAACACUCAAAGAUUUGAACAAAAACAAAUCCAGGGGAGAAUAGAAAAUUUCAACAAAAGAUCGAAAGGAAGAGAGAAGAAAAAAACUCACAUAUCUAUUUGUACAAUCAACUGAUCAUAAUCACGAAUCACUACAAUUCUCAACAAGGUGAUGAUAUUGCUGAUAAACCACCAGCAUCAAUAUGAAUGGUGAUCGUUUUAUUAUGCUACCAGCAUCUCUUUCAAUGAUCGAUGUCCAGCAAAGUCCACAAUUGUCACCAACUACAUGAGGAAAAGGUGGAAAAUGUAAUAACAAGGAUAUCGUAUCUGGUAAUUCAAUCAAUGAGACAACAAAGGAGAGAUGAAGAUGAAAACAGAGAAAGGGGAGGAAAUUACAACUAUUGGCAAUUGGCUAAAUUGUUGGACAGAAAUCAUAGCAGGGCGCUUACCACAGAGUGACCAUAACCUUGGGUGGCAGGUAGAAGUUGCAAUAACAAAGGAAACCAGAUGAUCUCAGAUUUUCAAAACUAAUAUGAAAGAGCCAAAGGAGAGAGAGAGAGAGAGAGAGAGAGAGAGAGAAAAGCAGAUGAAAGAAAAAGAAAUUGCAAAUUAUAUCAAAAAGAUGAAGAUGAUGACGAAAAGAAACUUUUCCUCUCUCUCUCUCUCUCUCUCACUUCAAGAUCUUUACUGAUAUUGGAUUUCAAUAUAUGCAAAAGCGAAGACCAUUGAUCAAGCCUACUACUUGUCUAUUAAGAAAAUGAUGGUGAUGAUGAGAGCAAAGGAAGAAUGUAAAAAGAUGAUAUUAGAUGAUGGAAAUACCCUGCAGGGGUUUUAUACAAUACGUUUCAAUAUCAUGGUGAGUCCAGUGUAUUACCAAUACGUGUUUACUUGGGGAAGAUGAUUUAUAUUUUUCUAAGAGAGAAAAUGAUGAGGGAGAGAGAUUUUCUUUCUCUAUCUCUUGAUUUGAGAAAAAAUAUAUUCAGAAUUAUUAUUAUAUUGGUAAUUCGAUAACUGUCAGUUAAUAGUUUAAAUUGUUUAUGAACAAAACGUAGGUAAAGGUAGAAACCAGUUGUCGGUGGAAACCCGAACCAUUGAGUUCUAUUGAUGUUAAGUUAUCCUGUUAACCUUUUCUACCUGUUGCUCCUUCAUCUCAUCGUCAUCAUCAUCAUCAUCAUCUCUCUCUCUCUCUCUCUCUCU